rnacentral:rRNA from 1 species
UACAGAGGUGCCGAGCGUUAGGCGGAAUCACUGGGCUUAAAGCGUGUGUAGGCGGAUGCCUAAGUACCUUGUGAAAUCCCACGGCUUAACCGUGGAACUGCUCGGUAUACUGGGUGUCUUGAGCCACUUAGGGGCUACCGGAACAAAUGGCGGAGCGGUGAAAUGCGUAGAUAUCAUUUGGAACGCCAAUGGUGAAAACAGGUAGCUGGGAGUGUGCUGACGCUGAGACACGAAAGCCAGGGGAGCGAACGGG